AAUAUUGCACAAUGGGCGCAAGCCAGAUGCAGCACAGCCGCGUGAGGGAUGACGGCCAUCGGGUCGUAAACCUCUUUUAGUAGGGAAGAAGCCGCAAGGUGACGGUACCUGCAGAAAAAGCACCGUCUAACUACGUGCCAGCAGCCGCGGUAAUACGUAGGGUGCAAGCGUUGUCCGGAAUUAUUGGGCGUAAAGAGCUCGUAGGCGGUUUGUCGCGUCUGCUGUGAAAUCCUGAGGCUCAACCUUGGGCGUGCAGUGGGUACGGGCAGGCUAGAGUGCGGUAGGGGAGAUUGGAAUUCCUGGUGUAGCGGUGGAAUGCGCAGAUAUCAGGAGGAACACCGAUGGCGAAGGCAGAUCUCUGGGCCGUAACUGACGCUGAGGAGCGAAAGCAUGGGGAGCGAA
rnacentral:rRNA from 1 species